UCACUUAUGAUAUUGAUCAUAAGGAAUUGCUGGUUAUCAACCUUGGUUUUGGUAAGGUAUGGGCAAUGCAUUGGCUGAGAGCCAGGAAGAAGAGUACAGCUAAGUACUUGGUGGCGUGGACCAAAGUACUAAGCUUGGGUGUUAUUAUUCAAGGCAGGCCGUGUGUGAUCUGAUCAUGGGCAAGGAUGGACGACCUGAUCCUUUGAGGUUGGAUAAAGGUGUCUGAUCUGAUUGAUCAAAGGAUGCACCGGUGGUAAGAGAAACACUAAUCAGGUUCAGUGGGACAUGGUUCCAUGACUGAUUAGGAAGUAUGAAGACUCAUCAGUUCUGAGUCAUGUGGGGUGGUUGGUUGAUUGACUUAGGAUCUGAUGGGCAUUGUUAGUCUUUGUGAGGACUUGAUCUGGUUAGUCCAUGAGAGGACUUGGUAUUAUAUUCUACAAAGCGUACUGGAUGAUGCAUGGGCUAAGAAGGGCCAGAUGCAUAUCAGUUACUAUUGAAGACUUCCCAAAGGUUACUUAGUCUGUGGGGAGGGUUGGCUGAAUGACUAAGUACCCAAGGGA
rnacentral:lncRNA from 1 species